rnacentral:miRNA from 14 species
CAACAACACCAAACCACCUGAU